AUAGAGAUGCCAGAAAAAUUUUAUGGGGUUGAUUUAGGAUUAAUUUAUGACUUUUGAAGUCUCUCUAUU
rnacentral:tRNA from 1 species